AAGUCAUCAUGUCCCUUACGACCAGGGCUACACACGUGCUACAAUGGCGCAUACAAAGAGAAGCGACCUCGCGAGAGCAAGCGGACCUCAUAAAGUGCGUCGUAGUCCGGAUUGGAGUCUGCAACUCGACUCCAUGAAGUCGGAAUCGCUAGUAAUCGUGGAUCAGAAUGCCACGGUGAAUACGUUCCCGGGCCUUGUACACACCGCCCGUCACACCAUGGGAGUGGGUUGCAAAAGAAGUAGGUAGCUUAACCUUCGGGAGGGCGCUUACCACUUUGUGAUUCAUGACUGGGGUGAAGUCGUAACAAGGUAACCGUAG
rnacentral:rRNA from 1 species